rnacentral:ncRNA from 1 species
GCAAUGUUUCUCUCAUAUAAUAGCGGGGAUAUGGCCUGCGAGUUUCUACCCAAAAACCGAAUAAAUUUUUGGACUAUGAGGGAAAGCA